rnacentral:lncRNA from 1 species
UUAGGGUUUAGAGUUAAAGGAUUGGGUUUAGGAUUUAGGGUUUAGGGUUUAGAUUUUAGGGUUUAGGGUUUAGAUUUUAGGGUUUAGGAUUUAGAGUUUAGGGUUUAGGGUUUAGAGUUUAGGGUUUAGGGUUUAGAAUUGAGAAAUGAGGUUUUGGGGAUAAGAUUUCAAAUUUUGAAAAAUAAAAAAAAUUAAAAUUUUCAAAGGAUAAACUUAGAAAUGUGCUAUUUUGGUCAUUUUAGUUUUUGAAUGCUAUUUUUGUGAUAUAAACUUAUAAAUGUGCUAUUUUGGAGAUUUGUCCUUUUGUUAAUUGUUAUUUUUUUUUGAACAAAUAAUUGUUAAUCUAAUGGGGCCUCCAACAAGGGAGAAUAAGCUCAAGAUAGUUCAUGAACUAAAUUAGAGCCACUCAGAAUAAACUUUAUUUUAACUUCAACUAAAUAUAAUAAAAUUGCUAGGAAUAACACACUUUUCUAACUAACCCAUAUACUAGAAAUAUAUGAUGAUUUAAUAUUGUGCUACCCAUUGUAUAUUUGUAAGAACUAUUAAUAUAUAUAUAGCGAAAGGUGAUUUAUUUUGAAUGAAACAAAUUUUGUAAAUAAACAAAAUGUAACAGAUUUAUUUUGACUACUUGCACAAAAGUACUAUAGUAGUUGUAGCCACACUUAAACUAGUGUUUGGAAAUAAUAGUUUGAUUCUUGUCCCUUCGUGAUAUCUUAAUGAUUGUGUCUGAUUAUAUUCAAUAUAGUUUGCAGCUAUUGCAUAUUUCCAAAUGCUUGCCCCUCACUGACCUAUGACCUGAAACCAAUGUUUCUAAACUCAAUUCGGACACUGAGUCAAAAUUUACCUUGUAACUAGAUUAUUGGACCGAUCGUGGAUGAACCACGAAUUACUAAAUUAAUUGAUUUUAAUAUAAUUAUAUAUUAGCUAUUAAAAAUAUAAGAGAAAUUACAUGUAUCAUAAAAAAAUAUAAUUAAUAUAAUUUUUGAUUCUUGCAGUUGCUUGAUUCGCACCAAACUUUUGGACAUAAUAAGAGCACACAUUUGGCUUGAAGCCUUAGACGGCAAUUUAAAAUUGAGUUUUGUUAAAAGGUCACGUGAAAAGAUAUCCUACGAGCUCAUAUAUACAACUCAAGUUUCACUUUUAAUAUAAAUCAAGAAUCACUAAAUGAUAUAUCAAGGGUUAUCAAGUAAAGAUUUUUUUAUGGAACAAUUAUAUUGAACAUAUUUACAAUAUGUUAAAGUAUAUUUUAUUUAUUUUCUAGUCCUCGCUCUUUAUUUUUUUGUGCCUUUUUCUUUUUAUUCCAUUCAAAUUUAUUAAGUAUUUAGUUAUUUACAAAAUAUUCCAUUUAUGAAUUUUAUAUUUUAGAACCUAUUUCAAAUUGCUUCUAUUUUAAUAUAAUUAAUUAAUUAUAUUAAUUUUAGUCAUUUAUAUAUAAUUCCAGAAAAAACAAGUUUUUGACCCCGAAAAUUAUAAUUUAGGAACUGGUAUACAACAAGAUUUUAUACAGCAAAUCCAAUCCAAGUCAAAGUGGAACCAUAAACAUUUUGUUUAUUGGGGUGAAAAUGUAAAAUCCAAAAAUACCAUGGGGUGGAGAAAUGUAACGAAAUUUAGGUGGGGUCAAACGUAAAAACAGAAACAAUACAGAACCCUCUCUGCAUUAGUUCAUAUAUUAAAGUAGCCAAGUGUAUUAUAUCAAUUCGUCAAAAGUAUUUGAUCAGAUUAUCAUAUGUGGUUAUACUUAUAAGAUACAAGUCACAACUCCCGUGAGGCCAUCAAGACUAUCGUUAAGGAGUAUAACACGCGUGGUUAGAAGAGGUCGGUGAUUUUUAUCCAUGUCUUUAGCAUAAGUCCCUCGAGGGAAUGAAUUGAGCAUAAAGACAGGCAAUGGAAGCCAAACGAUACAAUGCUGCUAUUAAAUCAUGUGCGUUGGAUAAUAACAAGCUAAUAUCAACUCUGUUUCUGUUAUUGAUCUCAAGGUUACAACAUCGAUAUUUAUGCAUACGGUAUGAUCCGUAAAGAUAGGAGAUAACUAUGAAACCUCAUAUUGUUAUGUUUAUCUAAGAAAUAAAUUCAUCUUUAUCUAAUACUCCCCCUCGAGAUGGAGAGUGAAGAUCUUGAAUGCCCAUCUUGUCCAGCAAGUAAUGUAUUUGCUGACACCCAAGUGAUUUUGUCAUUAUGUCAGCUAACUGUUCCAUAGUACCAAUAUGUUGUGCAGCGAUGAUUCCAGCUAUAAUGUAGUCACGAACAAAAUGAAAAUCCACCUCAACAUGCUUAGUACGCUCAUGGAACACCGGAUUCAUUGCUAUAUGAAUAGCUGCCUUACUGUCACAAUGAAAAGGUAUCGGAAACUGUUGUCUUAUCCCCAAAGAGUCCAUAACACCAAUCAUCCAUUUCAGUUCACUGCAUGUCAUUGCCAUAGCUCUGUAUUCAGCUUCUGCUGAGGACCUUGAGGCUGUUGGUUGCUUCUUUGUCUUCCAUGAAACCAGAGAAUUGCCCAUCAUGACAAUAUAACCAGUAAGCGACCGACGAGUAAGUGGGCAAGCAGCCCAGUCCGAGUCACUAAAUGCAGACAACGCAAGAUCACUAGUAGCACUUAAUAAUAUUCCUUGACCUGGAAGUCCCUUUAAGUAUCGUACCAAACGGACCGCUGCAUCCCAGUGUUUUUGACGUGGCUUGUGAAGAAACUGAGCCAGUAUAUGCACUGGAUAAUUCAGCUCCGGUCGUGUGAUAGCAAGGUAAACUAGCCUCCCAACAAGUUUUCGAUACUGUGCCGGUUCUGUGUAAAACGGUCCAUUAUCACGCCCCAGAUUAUGAUACUACUCCAUUGGUGUGUCCACCGGUUUAGAGCCAAGAAGUCCACACUCUGAUACAAUGUCAAGCGCAUAUUUACGCUGUGACAAAUAGAUACCCUCUUUGCUUCGUAGAACUUCAAUAUCCAAAAAAUAGCGAAGCUCUCCCAAGUCUUUCAUAUGUAAAGAGCGAUGUAAAUGCUCUUUGAACUUCGAGAUGAGCGCUGAGUUAUCACCACCAAUAAUUAGAUCAUCAACGUACACUAACACAAACAGAGUAGUAUUAUUUCUGUGAAGUGUAAAUAGAGAGUAAUCCAGACGGUUCUGUUUGAAGCCAAACUCAAGUAAAGCUUUAGUUAAUUUGGAGAACCAGCACCUAGGAGCCUGCUUAAGGCCAUAAAGAGCCUUAUUCAACUUACACACUUGAUUCGGUUUAGAGGAGACAAAGCCAGGAGGCAAUUUCAUAUAAACCUCUUCUUCAAGAUCACCAUGAAGGAAGGCAUUAUGCACAUCCAUCUGGUGUAGUUCCCAAUUCCGAGCAGCAGAGAUUCCAAGCAACAGGUGCAAACGUUUCAUUGUAGUCGACACCUUCUUCUUGUUUAUUUCCACACGCUACCAAGCGAGCCUUAUAUCGUUCAAUUGUUCCAUCCGCAUUAAUUUUUUUUAAAGAUCCACUGACAUCCAAUGGCAUGUUUACCAGGAGGUAAAUCAGUUACUGUCCACGUACCACUGCUUUCCAGAGCAUCCACUUCACUAGUCGCUGCAUUCCUCCAUUUUUCAUUUUUCAUAGCCUCUUUAAAUGAAGUUGGUUCCAUCUGAGAUUCAACGUUGAGGAGAAACGCCUGAACAUGUGGAGCAAGGCGAUGAAAGGAAACAUAGUUAUCCAAGGGAUAUGCACACUUACCUGAAGACAAUGACGGUGUAUUUGUUGAGUGAACAGCGGUUGCGGGGUUUUCAUUGACUUGAGCUGUAUUCGUAACAUAUGGACCUAAGCGAACAGAUUGUUUCUUAGUCCUGUGUCCUCUGCCUAAUUGUUCAGAUUCCGGUUGCUCUGUUGUAGUAGUCUCAGUUUCAGUGCUAGCUCUCCCUUUGUCAUUAUCAUUAGAAGUCGGUGGAGAUGAUGUUUCAUUAUUAGUGGCCGAUACACUGGUACUGUGUUGAUCAGAGUUCAAAACUCCCCCUGUCUCCAAUACUGCAGGUGUGAAGACAGGAUCAAAAUCAUCAUCAUAUGUUGCCGGAUGUGGUGGAGAGACCGGUACAGAUUCUGUAGUUUCAGACCCUGAGCUGGCAAGAGAAAAUGGAAAUAUUUCCUCAUGAAAGAUGACAUCUCGUGAAUCAAAUAUGCGUUCUGUUUCGAGAUCACAGACUGUCCAUCCUUUCUUUCCCAUAGGAUAUCCAAGAAAUACACAUCUAGUACUUCUUUCAUCAAACUUGUCUCGUCCAUGAGAUAGUGUGCGUGCAUAACACAGUGUACCAAAUACUCAAAGAUUGUCAUAAGACGGUGCUUUACCAUAGAGCAUCUCAUACGGUGUCUUAUUCUGUAGCAGCCGUGAUGGUGUUCGGUUAAUCAGAUAUGUUGCAGUCAGUAUACCUUCUCCCCAAAAACGUUUUGGUACAUGUCCUUGAAAGAGAAGUGCUCUAGCAAUGUUGAGAAUGUGUCUAUGUUUUCUCUCCACUCGUCCAUUUUGUUGUGGAGUCUCUACACAUGAAGUCUGAUGAAGAAUUCCUUUGGACACAAAAUAAUCCUUAAGACAUAUAAACUCGGUUCCAUUAUCAGUAUGAACCAUCUUUAUUUUCUUGUUGAAUUGUCGAUCAACAUAGGCACAAAACGUCUUAAGGGCUUGUGGUGCCUCCUUCUUUUCUAAUAAGAGUAUAGUCCAUACGGCUCUAGAGAAAUCAUUCACUAUAGUUAGAAAAUAACGUGCUCCAGUUGUUGAUGGUUCUCGAUAUGGUCCCCAUAAAUCACAGUGUAUCAAAGAAAAACAAUCAUCAACUUUAUUAAUGCUAACUGGAAAGACAUGUCGAGUUUGUUUAGCUUGAUGACAGAUACCACAAGAAUUCUCUAAAACACCAAUAUUUUUAGUAAAACCAGCAACUGAUGACAAAACAGAAAGAACAGCAGAUGACAGAUGACCCAUGCGUGUGUGCCACAAAUCUUGUGUCUGAAAUGCUUCCACAUGAUUUGUUUGAACAGCAACGGUUCCCAUAUACUUGAAAACCCCAUUAUGCUCUUCACCCGCACCAAUCAAAGUCUUCGAGGCGAGGUCCUGUAUCACACAAAACUUUUUAGUAAAUAGGAUAAAUCCAUCAAUAUCUUGCAGUAGCUGAGAUAUAGAUAUGAGUGUUGCAGAGAGAUGUGGAGCGUAGAGAACAUGUCUCAGUAUGAGACGACCACCAAGAUUCAGUUGACCUCAUCGUGUGGCCCAAGUAACACUACCUUCUGGCAUUCUAAUCGAAACUGGUGAGAUUGUUAUAACAUCACUAAGCAGAUUAAUCUCUCCAGUCAUAUGGUGAGAAGCACCAGAGUCAUAUUGAUAUCGUAUCUACUGUCUUUUCCAAAAAAAACAAGUUUGUCUUUCUUACCAAGCUUCUCACUGUUGUUUGAUUUUUGUGAAUUCACAAACUGAGUCAAGGUUGCCCAUUGUUCAUUUGUGAAGUUUGGAAUCCCUUGAGUCUGCUGCAGCUCUUGUGCUCCAGGCGUGUCAGCCUGAGUGUUGUAUGCACGAAAUCCAGUUCCACGACCACGUCCUCUGCCUCCUUGUGAGUCAGAUCCUUUGCCUCGCCCUCCUUUAUCCAUCCCUCGACCUGCUGCAGGUUUUGCAUUCUUAUCCCACCACUCUGGAUAUCCGAUGACUUCAAAGCAUUGACUUACUUCAUGUCCCUGCUUUCCACAGUGGGAACAAACCGAGUUGUUUCUUGCAAACCUAACUGCUGCAGCUUGAGCAUUGGUCAUGAUUUGUUGACUUGACGACACAGAGGAAGCCUGUGUUACUGCAGACAGACCCAUCGUUGGUGUUCUUUCUUCAUGCCUCAUGACAUUCAGAUGUCGUUCUUCUUGAAUUGUUUGUGAAUAAACUGACUCAAGAUUGAGAUCAGUUUGUCUACUCAGCAAGUUUGAACGUGUUGUUCCAAACCGUGAGGUAUCCAACCCCAUAAGGAAUUGAUGCACUCUUAACUUUUCUUCUUUCUUUUCAUACUUCAACAUCACUGCACAUUCUGAAUCUCCACAGCAGCAUGUGAAUCCCUUAUCAAAGUCAGCUUGAUCAUCCCACAAAACUUUUAAUCUCCCAAAGUAAACUUCCACUGUAUCUCCAUUCUGUUUACAUGAUGCAAUGUCAGCAUGUAACUGAUGAAUUCUGGUAUCAUCGCUUACUGAGAACCUCCGUUGUAGACCUCCCCACAUCACCUUGGCGCUGUCAACAAGCAGUUUUGGGUCAACACUACUAUAGAUCCACUCGAUAAUCAUGGCAUUGACCAUGUCCCACUUUUCUUCAUCUUCUGGUUUGUCAAUCGGUCUUUUAAGGGUUCCAUCAACAAAACCUAUUUUUCGCUUUGCUCUAAGCGAGUUGAGCAUCAAUUUUGCCCACCGCUCAUAGUUUGCUCCAUUCAGAAGAAUGGGUGUCUGCACUUGCCCUGUAUUAUCUGACGGAUGUAGAUAAUAUGGAGAGAUAAGAGAAUUCUUGUUGCCUUCGGUAGCUUUUGGUGACUCCAUGCUAGUAGAUGACGAUCAAUAUCUCACCGUAACAAUAUGUUUUGGUGGUUCGUAUUAGCUUUGUAAAAAAAUUAGUUGCCUUGCUCUGAUACCAUAACAAGCUAAUAUCAACUCUGUUUCUGUUAUUGAUCUCAAGGUUACAACAUCGAUAUUUAUGCAUACGGUAUAAUCCGUAAAGAUAGGAGAUAACUAUGAAACCUCAUAUUGUUAUGUUUAUCUAAGAUAUAAAUUCAUCUUUAUCUAAUAGAUAAGGACAUAAAUUGAUUAUAGGACAUGGUGAUCUCACUGAAAUAGGACAAAGAAGGACUAACUUGAGUGGAUGACAAAAGCAAAGGUUUCAGUUGGCCCGCCUAUGCAGAAUUUCUGAUGAAACCAUUCCUUUUGCGUGUAGGCUCUCGAGAAGUGUCGGCUCAAGACAACGAUCAGCAAUCUGCCUAACAAAACUUGAUUCUUCGGGUAUAUGAAACGCAGUGAUGUUUUCUGUUUACAAGAUUUCGGUUUAGCCUUAUGUUUGUCGUUUUGGUGUACGAGAAGUGAGUGAGGAAGGAGAGAACUAGAGGGUGGGACAGAGACAGUUCUGUCUAGGAAGAGUGUUGUUGAAGAGAAUCAAAAUAUUUGGGUUAGAUGAAGCUACGACUUCUAUUUGAUUCAGGCUCAUGAGAACCAAUGGUUUUUCUGGUUUGUUUUCUGAACAGGUGAUCUUGUGGAUUACAACGAGCCUUGAAAGCUGAUGGAGACAUAUUCUAAUUACUUUUCUAAGCUCGUUGAUGAGUAUUGAGCAAAGUUGGAUAAGACAUUCUUCUCUGAAUUUUCAAGUCCACAUCUAAAUUUUUGCAAGUCUACUUGUAUCAGCUGCUACUUAAACAUAAACGUUAACUAACAAAAAUGAACAAUUUUUUUAAAAGAAAUCAAAAUUUUAAAGGAAAAUUAUUAUUUUUUAAAUAAUCAUGUAUGUGAAAAUAAAAUAAAAUUCAAUACAAAAAUAAAAAGUAAAUAAUUAACAAAUGUAAAAUUAUCUUAAAGUUUAAGUUGAUAUUUAUACUAAGUUACUGAAAACUUAACACAAAAAGAGUUUAACAAGAAAAAACAAAAUUAUGACCACAACUGUUUUAUACAAUAGAGGCUAUAUGCUAUUAUAAUAUUCACAUAUAAUUCAAAAAUAUCAAAUAUGUAACCUUGACAUCAUAGUUUAAUAUUUUUAAAAAUCUUUAUUUCCAAAACAAAUCUAUCAAAAUAAAUUUUAAAAUAUCAACUAAUAUAAACAAAUAAAAGGAGAAUAGAAAGGGACUAACUUAAUAUAUAUGCUAACUCUUUCGAAAUUAACAUAAAAAUAUUGAUAAAAGUUAUGUAGUAAAGUAUGUCAAGACAUACAAAUAGCAUUUAUAAAUAAAAUAGAUAAUUAAUACAAAAUAGUUAAUCUAAUCAAAUAAAUAAUUAAUUAUAAACUGAAAUUGAGUAUUUAAAAUUUUCUUAUUUAUAUUGAUGUCGGCUAUAAAAUCAUCUAAAUUAAUAGGUUACACAAGUUUUUUAAGAAAAAAAGUUGAUUUUGGUUCUUUUUUAUCGAGUUAGUUAAUUCUUUGGCUUACAAUAAGUUUACAAAUAUUUAUAAAAAAUAAAUGAUGGUAAAAUUAAUUCACUUGUUGAGACACAUAUUGUUAAUUAGGCUAUUUAUUUAUGCGUUUUCAAACUGCCUUUUAUCGAUCAAAUGAAUUAACAUAUUUAUUUACUCAUCAACAAUUAAAAUUUUAAUAACACUACUUUAUCAUGUUUUGAUACAAAUGUUUUUAGAAAGUUAUAAUCCAAAUUUUAAUUAAACUAAUCAAAUUGGUUUUGAUGAAACAAACCUAAAGAUUUUUCUAAUCUACAAGAGUUUUAUAAAAUAAAAUCAUUAACAAUAAAACAAAAUAUACAUGGUGCCUCUUCGUACAUCUUUAAUUUAAUUCACCAAUAAAAGUGAUACUUAUGAAACUUUAUUAAAGCAAUCAACAUAACAUAUAAAAUUGAAACUGUGCUAACGAGAGUUUUGUAAAAGAAAGAUAUAUGAAAAAUAAUGUUAAUAAAAUAUAAGAGCAAUGUUAAUAAAAUAUAUUAAAACAUAGAAAAUCUGUAGCGGUCCACCCAAAAAUUAGUAAUUUUUUUUUUAUGAAAUGUGAAAUUUAUUGAUCAAUGUAGAAAAAAUAUGGAUUUACAUCAGGCUAUGAAUGCUAUAGAAGAAACUAUACAAUGUUGUAAAGAAUGAAUUUUAAGCUUUUAUCUGCUAAGCUGUAAUUUCAGACCACCGAUGCAUCAAGCUUGCGACUUGUGGUUAGCCUUGUAUCGAAGAAAAGUGAUCCUAUUUUGCAUAGCCUUAUCAAUGAUCCGUACCACUUGAUCAACCGUCCGAAAACCUUUAUGAUGUCUUCUCUCAUUCCUCUCCUACCAUAGAUGAUAGAUACUACUCUGAAAAACCAUUUUAAGCAAGAUAUUGUCCAUGAUUUGAAGAGAAUUUUCAUUCACAAACUGCAGUGUGAUCCAGUCUGGAUCAGUCCUAUCUGCACUCGGGUGAUUCGCGAGCUUGUCUCAUACUGUAAAGGAGUAUGGGCAAGCCAAGAAAACGUGAUCCCUAGUCUCUGUUUCUACACACAAGACAAAACUCUGUUCAAUAACACAAGCUCUCAUUGUAUCUCCUAUUGAAAGUCUAUUUUUAACUACCAACCAAACUAUAAAAGAGAACCGCGGUACCGCCUGAGAAAACCAUACACUUUUACUCCAAAAGACAAUAGCCUUUUUCACCCUGAUUUGAUCCAAAAGUCCUGGCUGAUGAAAAACAAGUUUUAUAUGUAUCUUCUGAAUGCUUCCAAAGCACCACAUCGCUGCCAAAAGAGUCAUUGGGGGCUUGCUCAUUCUGAAUCCGGUCAUGAAGGGCAUGGAAGUGGGGCUUCUGCGACCUCUAAUAUUCUAGUUUGAGUCCAGAACUGCAUCUCUUACUCGCGCAUUACAAGCCACUCCAAGAUAACAUGUGCCCACAGCACCAGUGAUAUCUAUAACUUUAUCCAUUUUUAACCAAUCAUCAAACCAAAGUAGGCGGUAUGGCCACCAUUUACCUCGUACCGAAUGGCCACCAUUUACCUCGUACCGAAUGAACUGAUACACAAGAGGUCUCAACUUCAAGAGUUUCCUCCAUACUCAAGAUCUUUUCCAUCUUCAUUGACAUCCCAAAAAGAAUUCUGACUCAGAAAAUACUGUUGAAUCCAACAGACCCACAAGGAGUUUUUAAACGAAUUUUUUUUUACAAAUUAAACUCAUAGCAAACACCAUGGAAGAGUCACGAAGCUUUCGUAUUCCAAGCCCACCUUCAUCUUUAGGAUAACAAAGAUCGUCCCAUGCCACCUUGGCUUUGCGAGUCUGAUUUGGAGAGCCAGACCACAAUAAAGCACUACACAUACUUUCAAUCUCAUCCAUACAAGCUUUAGGGAGAAUGAAAGCCUGACUCCAAAAGUUUACAAUACUGGAGAUAACAUACUUGAUCAGUUGUAGACGACAUGCAUAUGAUAUACACUUAUUCCGCCAAGUAAACAUUCUUUGUCUUACUCUGUCUAUUAAAGGUUCAUAGUCUUGCUUUGUAAGGGCCUUAGUAGUAAGACGUAUACCCAGAUACCUAACCGGCAGAGUUCCCACCUUGAUUCCCAUACAAUCAGCCUCAUGAAUCAACGGGGCUAUACUCUGACCUGCAGCAAAGAUGGAGGAUUUAGAAGCGUUUAUGUGAAGUCCUGAUAUGCUAGCAAACUGAUCCAUUACCUCCAGUACCCAUCUUAAGGAACUGAUUGAACCAUCGGUAAACACUAGUAUGUCAUCGGCAAAACUGAGAUGCGUGAGCUGCACUUCUCUACACUGCGGCUGAUAAGCAAACUGAUGAGCUGCAGCCGCAUUAUUCAACAUCUUAGACAAGAUAUUGUUCAAAAUAACGUAGAGAUAUGGCAACAGGGAGCAUCCUUGACGAAUUUCUCUUGUAUUCUUGCAUCACAAAUGAGCAGAAAUUACUAAUUUUUUAUUAAUAUUUAAAGAUAAUAUUGACAUUACAAUCGUUGGUAAAUUGAUAUUUAUUAAUAUUUGAGUAAUAUAAGCAGGAGGGACUCGUAGAUCCUCUAGAGGUAGAGCAUCAAGGUUCAGAAACAACAGAAAAAGAUAUGAAAAAUAUUAAUUAUACAUUAAUCAGUUAGAGACUAUAUUAUCCGAGAAUAUUAAUAAAUAAACUAAAAAAAAUGAAAUUUUGGUAAACUAAUAAUUAGGCCAGAAAACAUGUGAACUAAUAAAAGGUAAUAGUCAAGAAAUUAAUUUAUAUAGUAACUAGAUUAAGUAGAAGAUAUAUCUAAUAUUAUAGAUUUUACAUAUUCUUAUUUUAAUAAAAAAUAUUACUAAACAAUAGUUAAAUUUGUAUAUAUUUAUUUCCCCUUUUCUUAUAUCUAACCAAAAAUAUUUAAAAUUAUUUAAAUAUUUAAUAUGAUAAUGACCUAAAUCUAAAUAUUAUACUAUCAGAUUUACCUUUAAAAGAAUUAUAUAAGAAUAUUUCAAAUACAUAUAUGCAUAAAAUAAGAAUAUAAUAUUGAUAAUUACAUUGUAAAAUUUGGUAAAUACAAUGAAAAGUUAGAAUUGUGCAUAUGAAGUAAUAUGUAUCAAACAAUCUAUAUAAUGUUUAAAAAGAUAUAUAUAUAUAUAUAUAUGUAUAUAAUUAAAUAAACAAUAUAAGUAUGUUUAUAAAUACUGGGAUAUAUUUACUUAUACAAACAAAGAGAUCUGAAUACUAGUUAUUUAAAGAAUGUAAUUGUAUAAAAUAUAAUAGGAAAAAACAAUAAAUCAGACUUUGGAUACAAUUUUAUAGAAAAUGUAUAUAAGUCAUUUAUAUAUUAUUAUUUUAAAAUUAAGAUAAAAUUAAACUAGCUAGUAAUAUAAACUCGCGUGUAAAAUUUCUAUCCUCCUAAAUAUUUAAUGAGAAGUCACUUAAGUAACUUUUGCCUAGGUGUCAAUCAUAGAGAGAGUUUAAGAAAAUGGUUAUAAUUUGAUUGGUUGAAGUAUAUUCAAUUUUUAAUAUAACUUACCAAAUAGUCUAAAUGAUAUUAUAAAUAAUAAUUUAUGGUAACAAACUGUCAAAAUUAUAGAAAGUGUAAUAAUAUUUGAUUAAUUCUUUUUAUAUUUAUAUACUGCAUAAUAUAAUUAAUUGAAUACAAUUUCUAGAAAUCUAUAUAAUGAUUUCAUAUUCAUAUAUAAAACAUUAUAUUUAUAUUAAAAUAAUUAUUAUAAUUAUUAAUUUCUUAUAAUGUCUGUAUAUGUCUUAUAAGUCAUUUAUAAGAAAAUAAAGAAUUUAUGAAAUUACCUAUCAUGGCUUACAAAAUUAGCUUAUCUUAAUUUUAAAUUAUUAUAUGAGUUUUUAAAAAAUUUAUAAAAAAUAAAAAUUCUCCGAUAUAUUAAAAUAGAAGUCACUUAAGUGAAUUUUGCUUACAUAUCGAUCAUUUGGGCAGUCUUAAGAAUUUUUUUUAUAAUUUGCUGGGUCGAUAAUUUUUAAUUUUAUUUUUUUUAUUUUAGAUUUAAGAUAGAAAAAUCUAAAUCCAAUUAAUAUCACUUGCCAAAAAUCUAAAUUAUCCUAUAUAUUAAAUGAGAAGACACUUAAGUGACUUUUGCUUAGGUGUCAAUCAUAGAGAGAGUUUAAGAAAAUUGUUAUAAUUUGAUUGGUUGAAGUAUAUUCAAUUUAUAAUUAUUUUAAUUAGAUCUAAAAUAAAAGGUAAGUCUAGAACCAAUUAAUAUAACUUAUCAAAUAGUCUAAUAAUAUUACAAAUAAUAAUUUAUGGUAACUAAUUGUCAAAAUUGUAUAAAGUGUAAUAAUAUUCGAUUGAUUCUUUUUAUAUUUAUAUACUACAUAAUAUAAUUAAUUGAAUACAAUUUCUAGAAAUCGAUAUAAUGAUUUCAUAUUCUUAUAUAAAACAUUAUAUUUAUAUAAAAAAUUAUAAUAAUUAUUAAUGUAUUAUAAUGUCCAUAUAUGUCUUAUAAGUCAUUUAUAAAAAAAUAAAGCAUAUAUAAAAUUAUCUAUCAUGGCUUACAAAAUUAUUUUAUCUUAAUUUUAAAUUAUUAUAUGAGUUUAUAAAACAUUUAAAAAAAAUAAAAAUUCUUCUAUAUAUUAAAAUAGAAGCCACUUAAGUAAAUUUUGCUUACAUGUCGAUCAUUUGUACAGUCUUAAGAAUUUUUUUAUAAUUUGCUUGGUCGAUAAUUUUUAAUUUUAUUUGUUUAUUUUAGAUUUAAAAUAAAAAAAUCUAGAUCCAAUUACUAUCACUUGCCAAAAAUCUAAAUUAUAUUACAAAUACUGAUUUACGGUAAGUACUUGUUGAAAUUAUAUAAAGAAUAUUAACGCUUGAUUACUUAUUUUUUAUAUUUAUAAACUACAUAAUAUAAUGAACGGAACUUUUAUUAUUUUAAUUAUAUCUAAAAUAAAACAUAAGUCUAAUACUAAUUACUAUCACUUGCCAAAUAACCCAAAUGAUAUUAAAAAUAAUAAUUAAUGGUAGCUAAUAUUCAAAAAUAAAGAAAGUGUAAUAAUUUUUGAUCAAUUAUUUUUAUAUUUAAACACUACAUAAAAUAAUGAAUAUAAAACAAUUUAUAGAAAUCGAUAUAACGAUUUCAUAUUCAUAUAGAAAUAUAGUCGUAUCUAUAAUAAUUACUAAUCUCUUAUAAUGUCAAUAUAUUCUUUAUAAAUAAUUAGCCGUUUAAGAUUGGAAGGAUUAUAUUAACGGAUCAUGUGAGAAUUUUGAUUAAAAAAUGUUUUGCAUUUAAGUCAAAUAAUAUAGUGAAUAAGUUAAUAUUAUGACCGAAAAGAAUUCUAAGAUGGAUUUUUGUUUCGUUGAUUGUAUGUUUUGUAUUACUAUUUAGAGAGAAAAAAUAAAUAUUUGGCAAAAUUAUGUAAAAAAUUAGGAAAACAUUAGCAAAAUUUUUAUAAAAAAAACGAAAUGAUAACGAAAAAAAUAAGAAGAGGCCGAAGAAGAUGCAUAAUAUAUGUUGGAGAAGUUAAUGUGAUAAUUACAUGGGAAAUUGCCAAAAAUAUUAUUUUCAAAGUACCACUUUUUAUGUUUACACUAACCAAUUUUACCUUCAUCUUUAAUGAAGAGUAAAAGACAUUUAUAACCUUUUGAUUAACUUUGACAAAAAAAAACAUAAGGUUAAGUAAUCUAAACUUAAAACAUCAACUCUAAACCCUAAAUCAUCAACUCUAAACCCUAAACCAUGAAACAUCAACUCUAAACCCUAAACCCCGAAACAUCAACUCUAAACCCUAAACCAUAAACCCUAAACCUUCAAAUCUAAACCCUAAAACAUCAGUUCUAAACCUAAACGUAAACCCUAGACCCUAAAUCUAAACUAAAAACAUCAACUUUAAACCCUAAAUCAUCAACUGUAAACCCUAAACCAUAAAACAUCAACUAUAAACCCUAAACCCCGAAACAUCAAUUCUAAACCCUAAACCUUCAAAUCUAAACCCUACAACAUCAAUUCUAAACCCUAAACGUAAACCCUAAACCCUAAUUAAAAAAUGUUUUGCAUUUAAGUCAAAUAAUAUAGUGAAUAAGUUAAUAUUAUGACCGAAAAGAAUUCUAAGAUGGAUUUUUGUUUCGUUGAUUGUAUGUUUUGUAUUACUAUUUAGAGAGAAAAAAUAAAUAUUUGGCAAAAUUAUGUAAAAAAUUAGGAAAACAUUAGCAAAAUUUUUAUAAAAAAAACGAAAUGAUAACGAAAAAAAUAAGAAGAGGCCGAAGAAGAUGCAUAAUAUAUGUUGGAGAAGUUAAUGUGAUAAUUACAUGGGAAAUUGCCAAAAAUAUUAUUUUCAAAGUACCACUUUUUAUGUUUACACUAACCAAUUUUACCUUCAUCUUUAAUGAAGAGUAAAAGACAUUUAUAACCUUUUGAUUAACUUUGACAAAAAAAAACAUAAGGUUAAGUAAUCUAAACUUAAAACAUCAACUCUAAACCCUAAAUCAUCAACUCUAAACCCUAAACCAUGAAACAUCAACUCUAAACCCUAAACCCCGAAACAUCAACUCUAAACCCUAAACCAUAAACCCUAAACCUUCAAAUCUAAACCCUAAAACAUCAGUUCUAAACCUAAACGUAAACCCUAGACCCUAAAUCUAAACUAAAAACAUCAACUUUAAACCCUAAAUCAUCAACUGUAAACCCUAAACCAUAAAACAUCAACUAUAAACCCUAAACCCCGAAACAUCAAUUCUAAACCCUAAACCUUCAAAUCUAAACCCUACAACAUCAAUUCUAAACCCUAAACGUAAACCCUAAACCCUAAUAUUUUUCAGAAAUUCGAACCCUAAACCCUAAAACACUAAACCUUCAAAUCUAAACCCUAAAACAUCAACUCUAAACCCUAAACGUAAACCCUAAACCCUAAAACCCUAAAACCCUAAACCUUCAAAUCUAAACCCUAAAACAUCAGCUCUAGGGUUUUAGGGUUUAGGGUUUAGGGUAUAGGAUUUAGGGCUUAGGUUUGAAGGUUUAUGGUUUAGGGUUUAGAGUUGAUAUUUUAAGGUUUAGGGUUAAUUUUUAGGGUUUAGGGUUUAGAGUUUACUUUUUAGGGUUUAGUGUUGAUAGUGUAGGGUUUAGUGUUGAUGGUUUAGGGUUUAGAGUUGAAGUUUAGGGCUUAGAGUUGAUGUUUUAGGGUUUAUAGUUGAAGGUUAAGGGUUUAGGGUUUAGAGUUGAUGUCUCGGGGUUUAGGGUUUAGAGUUGAUGUCUUGGGGUUUAGGGCUUAGAGUUCAAAA